rnacentral:rRNA from 1 species
GGAGCCGUAGCGAAAGCGAGUUUUAACUGAGCGUUCAGUUACUUGACGUAGACCCGAAACCGGGCGACCUACCCAUGAGCAGGAUGACGCGAAAGUAAAAUUUCGUGGAGGUCCGAACCCACGAGCGUUGAAAAGCUCGGGGAUGACGUGUGGGUAGCGGUGAAAUUCCAAUCGAGCCCGGAGAUAGCUGGUUCGCCCCGAAAUAGCUUUAGGGCGAGCCUCAAGGUGAGAGAUACGGAGGUAGAGCACUGAAUGUCCUAGGGGGUAUUGCACCUACCGAAGA